rnacentral:lncRNA from 1 species
CUGACCUCUGCACCCUUUUGCUCCCCACCUGUCCCAAAAAAGUGGAGCUAUAACUGUGGGAAAAGGGGAUCUGAAGUCAGACACAGGAUCCACAGUAGCCUGGGGACCUUUCUCACCCCCGCCCUUAAGCAGGCCCCAACAUAACCGGCUGAGAAACCUCCUCUGCCAGAUCCUGACCUGAGCCAGGAGGCGGCCAGGAAACUGGAUUUUGGGACUGGGAUUUCAGAGAGGAAGCUGGAGAGCUGCAGGGUGGUCAUCUGUCACUUUAUUUUGCCCGUCUUGUAGCAUGUGGGUCUUUCGCAGCAGGAAGUGUGUUUUACAACCAGAGCCCCCGCCCUCCUGCAGCGCAGGCGCAGCUGGCUGGGCUCCUGCUUCCCACUCUCCACCUCAUCCAUAUUUGUCCUCGUCCCUGCCAGUCUCGAAAAGGCACUCUGUCACGUGUACACAGGAAAGGGCCCUGACAAGAGGAUGGGACUGCAGUUGUGGCUGCCAGGAACAGGGCCCCGGCCAGGGUGAAAACAAGGAACAUUCCAGAGAAGAUCACAAGGAUGCGAAUAAAAUCGGAGCUGCACAGGGAUCUUUGGGCUGUAAUAGGAGGGGACACACAGGGGUUAGGGGAGGGUCUAGCCCUUGGCUCCCUCAGCCCAGCCCUCCUGUCACCUUGCCUCUCCCCUUUCCCCCACCUUAUUCUAUCCCACCCGCCACCGUUGGCCAACUCCUCUCCUAAACAGUGGACUCUGCUUUUUCCCCUCCUCUUAUCCCUAAUCCUAGGAGCUUUCUGUCUGGCUUCCCUCCUGGCCCCUCGUGUAUGCAUUCUCUCUAGCGGUGGGGAUUAAGGAGAAAACUCACGUGGCCAGUGGGUAGAGAGAGUCCGGGCAGGCAGCUGCCUGAAGUCAGCCAGAGUCUGCAUGUGCCCAGCUGUCCUGGCCUCCAGCAUCUCUGGAAAAACAGAGACAGAAUGAGUAGCAGCAGGGGACCCCAUAGGGCACAUCUGAAGGCCUGAGAGGUGCUGGAUGGGAUGGGAAGGCAGAAACAGGCUGACCUUAUCUAGGGGUAGGAGUGGGGAGUACUGGUUGGGGUAUCACCGCUACCCCACGUGAUGGCACAGAGAGUUGCCUGGAACUUACCACUGACAUAAGAGUCUUGCUUUGUCGCCCAGGUUGGAGUGCAGUGGCACGAUCUCGGCUCAGUGCAACCUCCGCCUCCUGAGUUCAAGUGAUUCUCCUGCCUCAGCCUCCCUAGUAGCUGGGAUUACAGGACAAGGAGAGGGACAAAUUCCUUCUUGGCAUCCUUAUGGCCCUGUGACCUGCUAAUGAAUGCUGACUCUGAGUUGCUACUAGAAUUUGGUUUCCUUGUGGCUUCCCAGGAAUUGUGAGCCAUGUUGGAUAAGGACCUGCAAGGGAAGAAUGAGGAAGCCUGGGACAGUGCAGGAGGGGAGAGCACUGGUGGUAGAGAGGAGUGAUGACAAGGGUCUCCGCCAAAAGGGAAAUGGAGGGGUUAAAGAAGCUGCUGGGGAGGGUUAAAAACAAUGUGUUCUCACUCGUAGGUGGGAAUUGAACAAUGAGAACACUUGGACACAGGAAGGGGAACAUCACACACUGGGGCCUGUCGUGGGGUGUGGGGAGGGAGGAGGGAUAGCAUUAGGAGAUAUACCUAAUGUAAAUGAUGAGUUAAUGGGUGCAGCACACCAACAUGGCACAUGUAUACCUAUGUAACAAACCUGCACAUUGUGUACAUGUACCCUAGAACUUAAAGUAUAAUUAAAAAACAAAACAAAACAAAACAAAAACAAUGAGGUGCUAUUGUUUUAGUGGUGAGUAUCCGGAGACCUGGGAGUUCUAUUUACCAGGUAUAACCUGGGCUCAAAAUUCCAGGCUGACUUCAGGCAUGUCCUCAUCUCAUAGAUGCCAGCACUAAGGCCCAGAGAGGGCCGAGCUCAUUCAGCCCACCCAUCUUCUCACCCCUGACUGCAUUUCCCGGGGGUCCUUCUGCAGCCAGGUGCUGCUGUGGUACUUUGGGAUCUAUUGGCUGAGCUCCCAGAGAAGGGUCAUGGAUUGGGCUAGUUUGGAACAAGUGAAGGGACUGAAGAUGGGCUCAGUAUGGGGCGAAGACCUUCAGGAAGGGUCUGCAGAGUGAGUAGGGGGGUUUUGACUAGGAAAAGUUCCAACCCUGCCGGGGCCGCUGUCAAGAGAAAAGCAUCUAUUACAGUUACAUUUUUAAGUUAAGUAGACUGAAGAAUAUUUCUUGUGUAUUAAAGACGUUCCUUUUUGGUUGAUUUGCAAUGGAAAAGCUUUUGUUUUCUUUUUUUUUUUGGAAACAGGGUCUCACUCUGCUCACUCUGUCUCCCAAGCUGGAGUGCAGUGGUACAGUCACGGCUCACUGCAGCCUCCACUUCCUGGACUCAAGUGAUCUUCUCACUUCAGCCUUCUGAGUAGCUGGGACUACAGCCCCCUCUGCAGCUCUUCAUGGGGGUCCACUCAAGUCAGAAGCCACAUUUGGGUGUGAUUCAGAGAGCUGUUUAUGCAAAACCAGCUUUGUCACCAUCAGGCAAGGCACCUGAAUUCCCACCGCAGAGAGUGUUGUGGCCGUGAGGACUUUUCUGUCACCAGCCAUUUCCAGGUAGACCCAGUGUAAUCACAAGCAUCCUUGUAAGUGGCAAAGAGGCAGAGGAGACAGCGCCAGAGAGGCAGCUGCAUGAGAAGGAUCAAGAUGUUGCUGACUUUGAAGUUGGAAGAAGAAGGCCAUGAGCCUCAGUAUGUGGGCGGCUUCUAGAAGCUGGAAGGGGCAAGGAGAUGGAUUUGACCCUUCAGCCUCCAGGGGCAGCUGUACCUGCCAUCACUGAUUGUAGCCUGGUGAGGCCUGUUUUAGACUUCUGACCUGUAGAGCUGUAACAUAAUACAUUUGGGUUGUUUUCAACCACUAAGUUUGUGGUAAUUUGUUGUAGCAGCUGUAGAAAAUGAAUACAUAUGAAUCCUCUGGCAUUUGUUUGAGAUUUGCUCUAUGGCCUAGUAUGUGGUUGUAAAUGUUCCAUCUGUGCCUGAAAAAAUGUAUAUUUCUAAUUCAGUAGUCUCUGCUUUUUUUUUUUAUUUUGUACCCCAUCAAUAAAAUGAUUUUCAGCAUGUAUCCCCAAAUAAACAAUAUUUUAUUUAUUGAUUGAUUGAUAAACAGACAUGUUUAAUGAUAGCUUGCUUUUCACAGAGGUGACUUCGGAGACUUCUAAUCUAUAAUCCAGGAGUAUAUAACCAUGCAGCACAGACCAAUUAGUCACAUGUAAAAUAAACUAGAUUCUUACCAC